CAGUCGCCGCGGUAAUACGUAGGGUGCGAGCGUUAAUCGGAAUUACUGGGCGUAAAGCGUGCGCAGGCGGUUGUGUAAGACAGGUGUGAAAUCCCCGGGCUUAACCUGGGAACUGCGCUUGUGACUGCACAGCUAGAGUAUGGCAGAGGGGGGUGGAAUUCCACGUGUAGCGGUGAAAUGCGUAGAUAUCGGAAGGAACACCUGUGGCGAAAGCGGCUCACUGGACCAUUUCUGACGCUGAUGCACGAAAGCUAGGGGAGCAAACAGGAUUAGAUACCCCCGUAGUCCCUGUCUCUUAUAU
rnacentral:rRNA from 1 species